rnacentral:rRNA from 1 species
GACAGAGGGUGCAAACGUUGCUCGGAAUUACUGGGCGUAAAGCGCGUGUAGGCGGACCACCAAGUCGGACGUGAAAGCCCUGAGCUCAACUCAGGAACUGCAUCCGAAACUGGCGGUCUGGAGUGGUGGAGAGGAAAGCAGAAUUCCUGGUGUAGAGGUGAAAUUCGUAGAUAUCAGGAGGAACACCGGUGCGAAGGCGGCUUUCUGGACACUUACUGACGCUGAGACGCGAAAGCGUGGGGAGCAAACAGGAUUAAGAAA